rnacentral:rRNA from 1 species
UGGGGAAUCUUCCACAAUGGGCGCAAGCCUGAUGCAGCAAUGCCGCGUGUGUGAAGAAGGCCUUCGGGUUGUAAAGCACUUUCAGCGGGGAGGAAGGCGGAGAGGUUAAUAACCUCAUCGAUUGACGUUAACCGCACAAGAAGCACCCGCCAACCCCCUGCCAGCAGCCGCGGUAAUACGGAGGGUGCAAGCGUUAAUCGGAAUUACUGGGCGUAAAGCGCACGCAGGCGGUCUGUUAAGUCGGAUGUGAAAGCCCCCGGCUCAACCUGGGAAGUGCAUUGGAAACUGGCAGGCUAGAGUGCUGUAGAGGGGGGUAGAAUUCCAGGUGUAGCGGUGAAAUGCGUAGAGAUCUGGAGGAAUACCGGUGGCGAAGGCGGCCCCCUGGACAGAGACUGACGCUCAGGUGCGAAAGCGUGGGGAGCAAACAGG